rnacentral:misc_RNA from 1 species
CCGAGUUUUCAACUCCCAAACCCCAUGUGAACUUAUACCAUUUUUUGCUUCGGCGGGUUCUCGCCCCGGGUUUUACACCCCGGAACCAGGCGGCCCGCCGGGGGACUCAAACUCUAGAUUUUUACUUUAGCAUGUCUGAGUGGAAUCAUUACAAAAUGAAUC